rnacentral:misc_RNA from 1 species
GCCUCGAUCAGAUUACGCGAUGCGGUUGCGACCAAGAUGAGUGAAGCGCAAAUCGCAUUGGCUCAACGUCUGGCCAGCGACUGGCGACCUCUGCGCGAACGAUGACAGUAAGAUGUCGUGUUGCAUUCGCAACACUCGGGAAGUUUGUGAGGCAAGGAAAAUUCGUGGGGCAGAAAGUGUCAUUUGUUCUACUUACAGCGAAGUUAAGAAACCCCCGCUCGACGUAAAUGUCGAUCCUAUUUUUUUUGGGGGUCUG